rnacentral:lncRNA from 1 species
AGUGGUGUCUGACUCUUCCUGACCAUAUGGACUGAAGCCUACAAGGCUCCUCCGUCCAUGGGAUUUUCCAGGCAAGAGUACUGGAGUGGGGUGCCAUUGCCUUCUCCAUUCUGAGUCCUACUAUGCCUCAAAUGCAUGCUGAACACUGAGGACGCGGUGGUGACCAAGAUAAGAACCAGUUCUCGCCUUCGUGGAGCUAACAAACUGGGGGAGGAGACAGAUGUUUGAUAACUGAACAGGGAAGCCUCCAGACAGGUGCAGUGAAUGCCACAGCAGGAUGGUCAGUGAGAGGGGGUGCUCAACAAUGGAGCCAGGCCGAGAAUGCUGAAAGCAGAGUUCCUGUUCCAGCGCCUCUGUUACUUAAGCAGAGGGCGAUUUCACAUCUUCCUGGGACGUGAUGUUCCAGGGGGAGAUGGUCAAAAAUGAUACUUGAAGUUUUGAGAGCUCUUGUGUCUGUAAGGACGGACUGCGAUGCCCUUACAUGAUAGCUGCCUAGAUACAUGAGUUGUGGUUGGCAUGGUGUUUUUAAUAAAUGCCCCUAGCCUUCAUUAU